rnacentral:rRNA from 1 species
CGCGGCCUAUCAGCUUGUUGGUGGGGUAAUGGCCUACCAAGGCGACGACGGGUAGCCGGCCUGAAAGGGUGACCGGCCACACUGGGACUGAGACACGGCCCAGACUCCUACGGGAGGCAGCAGUGGGGAAUAUUGCACAAUGGGCGCAAGCCUGAUGCACCGACGCCGCGUGAGGGAUGAAGGCCUUCGGGUUGUAAACCUCUUUCAGUAGGGAAGAAGCUGGUCCUUCGGGGUUGGUGACGGUACCUGCAGAAGAAGCGCCGGCUAACUACGUGCCAGCAGCCGCGGUAAUACGUAGGGCGCAAGCGUUUUCCGGAAUUAUUGGGCGUAAAGAGCUCGUAGGCGGUUUGUCGCGUCUGCCGUGAAAGUCCGGGGCUUAACUCCGGAUCUGCGGUGGGUACGGGCAGACUAGAGUGCAGUAGGGGAGACUGGAAUUCCUGGUGUAGCGGUGAAAUGCGCAGAUAUCAGGAGGAACACCGAUGGCGAAGGCAUGUCUCUGGGCUGUAACUGACGCUGAGGAGCGAAAGCAUGGGGAGCGAACAGGAUUAGAUACCCUGGUAGUCCAUGCCGUAAACGUUGGGCACUAGGUGUGGGGGACAUUCCACGUUUUUCCGCGCCGUAGCUAACGCAUUAAGUGCCCCGCCUGGGGAGUACGG